rnacentral:lncRNA from 12 species
AAGUCCGAGUAUGACUCAACCACCGAAGAUAGAAGCGAGUUCCCAUGAAGCUCUUAGAGAAGUCAGCCCCUCUGCAUUGUCUGGAGAACAGCAGAAGACAGGAGGGGAGCCCUGGGAUUUGGGACUUCAUGAUAACCGUGAACUGACAGACGUAUUUCCUGUGGGCUACGGCUGCUGACUUCCAAAACACACAGAGCAAACACAUGUUCAAAAUGUUGAGCCACCUUCUUGUGCCCAGGAUGAAAAUGGCAUGAAGUCCAAAGAAGCCGACCCUGACCCUAUGGUGCUGCUGAACCCACGCUAGAGCUGCUAAUUCCAGACGUCUGGCUUCCUGAGAAAAUAAGCCCCUAAAUUAAUCUACUAUUAAUAGACUUUUCUGAUUCUUGUAGUUCAAAGUUAUG